GAGUUUGAUCCUGGCUCAGGACGAACGCUGGCGGCGUGCCUAAUACAUGCAAGUCGAGCGAGCUUGCCUAGAUGAUUUUAGUGCUUGCACUAAAUGAAACUAGAUACAAGCGAGCGGCGGACGGGUGAGUAACACGUGGGUAACCUGCCCAAGAGACUGGGAUAACACCUGGAAACAGAUGCUAAUACCGGAUAACAACACUAGACGCAUGUCUAGAGUUUGAAAGAUGGUUCUGCUAUCACUCUUGGAUGGACCUGCGGUGCAUUAGCUAAUUGGUAAGGUAACGGCUUACCAAGGCAAUGAUGCAUAGCCGAGUUGAGAGACUGAUCGGCCACAUUGGGACUGAGACACGGCCCAAACUCCUACGGGAGGCAGCAGUAGGGAAUCUUCCACAAUGGACGAAAGUCUGAUGGAGCAACGCCGCGUGAGUGAAGAAGGGUUUCGGCUCGUAAAGCUCUGUUGGUAGUGAAGAAAGAUAGAGGUAGUAACUGGCCUUUAUUUGACGGUAAUUACUUAGAAAGUCACGGCUAACUACGUGCCAGCAGCCGCGGUAAUACGUAGGUGGCAAGCGUUGUCCGGAUUUAUUGGGCGUAAAGCGAGUGCAGGCGGUUCAAUAAGUCUGAUGUGAAAGCCUUCGGCUCAACCGGAGAAUUGCAUCAGAAACUGUUGAACUUGAGUGCAGAAGAGGAGAGUGGAACUCCAUGUGUAGCGGUGGAAUGCGUAGAUAUAUGGAAGAACACCAGUGGCGAAGGCGGCUCUCUGGUCUGCAACUGACGCUGAGGCUCGAAAGCAUGGGUAGCGAACAGGAUUAGAUACCCUGGUAGUCCAUGCCGUAAACGAUGAGUGCUAAGUGUUGGGAGGUUUCCGCCUCUCAGUGCUGCAGCUAACGCAUUAAGCACUCCGCCUGGGGAGUACGACCGCAAGGUUGAAACUCAAAGGAAUUGACGG
rnacentral:rRNA from 1 species